UCGGGAAUUUUGGGCAAUGGGCGAAAGCCUGACCCAGCAACGCCGCGUGAAGGAUGAAGUAUUUCGGUAUGUAAACUUCGAAAGAAUGGGAAGAAUCAAUGACGGUACCAUUUAUAAGGUCCGGCUAACUACGUGCCAGCAGCCGCGGUAAUACGUAGGGACCAAGCGUUGUUCGGAUUUACUGGGCGUAAAGGGCGCGUAGGCGGCAAUUCAAGUCAUCUGUGAAAUCUCCGGGCUUAACUCGGAACGGUCAGAUGAUACUGCUUUGCUAGAGUGCAGAAGGGGCAAUCGGAAUUCUUGGUGUAGCGGUGAAAUGCGUAGAUAUCAAGAGGAACACCUGAGGUGAAGACGGGUUGCUGGGCUGACACUGACGCUGAGGUGCGAAAGCGUGGGGAGCAAACAGGAUUAGAUACCCAAGUAGUCCCUGAGCGGGCUGGCAAGGCGCAU
rnacentral:rRNA from 1 species